CCCAAAUUGCUUACUGCCAAAACCCCUCAAAUUCUUAAUACCAACAUUCUUCAAGUAGCAUUAAAGAUGACAUCAAGAAUCUAGGUAUGACCUGAAAAGGAAGUAGGUUGUUGGUCAUAUAGGAAGAAGGAAGGUUGGAGGCUUGAGUGCUUUACUAGUAUCUGCAAAUAUUUGGAGUGUUGUUGUUGUUGAGUUUUUCAUGUAUGUCUAACUCUUCGUGACUCCAUUUGGGUUUUUUUUGGGCAAAAAUAUUAGAGUGGUUUGCCAUUUCCUUCUCCAGCUCACUUGACAUAUGAGGAAACUGAGGCACACAGGUUAAGUAAUUUGCUUGGGAUUACAUAACUAAUAAGUGUCUGGGGCCAGAUUUGAACUAAGGAAGAUGAGUCUUCCUGACUCCAGGUCCUGCACUCUAUCCACUGAGACACCUCGCUGCCCAACAAUGGCCCUUAAGUCAAAAAAUGAGUUUAAGGGGGCAGCUGUGUAGCUCAGUGGAUUGAGAGCCAGACCUAGAGAUGGGAGGUCCUAGAUUCAAAUCUGGCCUUAGACACUUCCCAGCUGCGUGACCCUGGACAAGUCACUUGACUCUCUUUGCCUAGCCCUUACUACUCUUCUACCUUGGAACCAAUACACAGUAUUGAUUCUAAGAUGGAAGGUAAGGGUUUUUUAAAAAGAGUUUAAAUCUUAGCUCUGUUACUUAUGACCUGGGACUAGUCAUUUAUUUCCUCUCUGGAUUUCUGUUUCUACCUUUAUAAAGUGUGGAGGUUGGAUUAGGAGAAAUAACAUUUUUCCAGGGGGUACUGCCAUCUAACACAAGAAACUCAGCCACCCUGGCUAGGUUGCCUUCUUGUCCUGGAACACUCCUCUACCAUCCCUUCCUGGAUGAGUGAACUGGUGAGUUCCAUCUAGAGACCUUCAUUUGGGGGAAGGAUCUAGACCAGCCAUAUUUCAUUCCCUCAUAGUUGUGCUUCUGACCCUCCUGGUCUUUGCCACUAUUCCCAUGAGUAGGUAACUUCCUACCCUCCUCCCUGUCCCCUACAGCUUUUUAGCUCCCCCCUUUUUAUCAAUGAACAAAUAAACAUUUAUUGAGCACCUAUUUUGUGCCA
rnacentral:lncRNA from 1 species